rnacentral:lncRNA from 1 species
UAAAAGUGAGCAGUUUUGUUACCUCAUUUCUGUUUUUCUGAUUUCCGUAAGUGGGUGGUAAGAGGGGUACAAACAAGUUGAAUUUUAUUUGUGUGACUUGUUUAUAGUUUCUAAAAUUUUAUUGGUUUCAUUGAAAUUGAAAACAUAAGCGUUGAUUACUAUAAUUCUAGCUAUAGGUUGUGGGUAACCAUUACCACCCUAUUUAACAAACUUCUCAACUUAACCAAAAUUUACGAAUAGCAGCGGAAAGACUUUUUUUUCAAAAGUAGGCUCAGUUGUGGUCUUUAUCUUUAGCUUGUAGGUUAUACUUGGUGCAAAAAGCCUAAUUCAG